rnacentral:lncRNA from 1 species
AGCCUGUUGUGGUUGUGCUCUUUAUUGUAUUAGUACAUGAAUCAUAAAUAAAUAAAAAUUAUUUUGAAAUUUUUCAUCACAAAUUGUCAUCUUCUAAUGAACUCCUGUGUUGUGGUGAAGUCCUUAGGACUAUUUAAACUCGACAAAGAAGGAUUUGUUGUUUAGUCCUUAAACCUGUUCGCGACCAAAUGAUAUGUUGUUACCAAGGACAACAAUGUUUAUCGAGCAUAGGUCAUUGU